rnacentral:lncRNA from 1 species
UAUAUUAGCUGUAGCACACCUAACCUUGCGAACUAUGGCGAGAUCCUUCAUUCUCCGACAUUGGAAAUGGCACAGAGGAAAUUUCCCCAUAUUUUCUAGCGAACUAGGGAAAGUUGUAGGUGAUUUUUUGACCCACUUCGGCCACGUCCGGGAGUUGUAAUGGUAUACUUCGAUUCCUCGUCCUUUAAUCUUCGAUUGGUAUAUUAGGUGAUUAGGUUUAAUGAAGAUUUGUGGUUAUUAGAACCUCAUUCUAUCCCCUGGUGAAAUUUCUAGAAUCCGACGGUUGUAAUGGCAACCGACCAGAGAAGAAAACAAAAAAAGGGGGCCGAUGAAGGAAAUUUUGUGAAAAACAUGUUCAUUUGAGCAACAUCUAUGGCAUGCAAUUAACAUUUAAAGGCGGAAU